GCCCGGUUAGCUCAGAUGAUAGAGCACGGUACAUUUAAUCCUGAAGUCGAGGGUUCAAGUCCCUCAUCGGGCG
rnacentral:tRNA from 1 species